AGAAGAAAAGUGAGAAAGGGAGAAGUGGAGAAGUGGAGUUCUGCGUUUGCUAGCACAGACUACGAGGAGGGAGUCUUGUUCGAGGUCUGUGGAUGGAUUCCAGAGGAGUAGGGGAGGGGAUACUGAAGAGAAGAUAGGGGGUUGUUUGCUUUAACUUACGAAAUGGUCACGAAAGAGACCCGCCGAAUCUCUUCCUCUGGACGGGCACAACAGCUUUGGGAUGCGAUCAAAGCCGUUCGACUUCAAAAGCAGAUUCCCGCGAUUACUCGAAUGGGCCGGUACAUGAGUCGAUAUUAUCAAUUGAAAAAAGAUGAGACUCAACGCCUGCUGGAUCUAGCGGUGGAAGAUAAUCUCAUCAAGUUAGAAACGAAGAUAGGGACGAAGGGAACCAAGUCUGGAAUAGAGGAGAAAGCUUAUCGAUUACCAACGUCUGAUAUGUUACCAAGGGAGAGGCAUGAUUGGUAUUGCUUCAAAUGUCAUGCAGGCGGGGAAGUGGUUCUGUGCGCCACAUGUCACAGAGUUUACCAUGAGGAUUGUAUUAAAAGUCCCGACUUCAUCCCAUCAGAGGAAUAUGUCUGUAAAUAUUGUGAGGCUUUUCAAAAAGUACACGAAGUCAGUAAUAAGAGAGAUCGACGAGAUUUAAAUCACUUGUUUCGUCUUAUAGUUAUGAGAUCUAAAAAAAAACUACCGGAGCGCAUUUAUGCGCGAGAAGUUCCUCAGCCUCCAUCCAAAAAUAUAAUUGAUUCUGGUAAUUUGCAAAAUCAAUUAAACUUGUUUGAUACUAAUGGAAAGAAACUAGAAGAGGAGCUGUGGAGAGCUUCAUUUUUGCUUAAAGAACAAAUUGAUUUUUCAGAAAUUGAAAGAAAGUGCUUAGCCAUUGAAUAUCGUGACUUGGAGGAAUUCAGGGCAGAUUGUCACCUUCUUAUUCACAAUGUUGUAAUUUAUCAUGGAGUGAAUUCUCAUGUGUCAGACUUGGCUCGCUCUGCUUUUCGCGAUUGUAUUAGAGAUUUGAGAGAUUUAGAAGCAUGUAGGGAUUGUUUUAGGUACUCAAUAGAACCAGAAGAUGAUAAGUAUUGGUUUUGUAAACCCUGUCGUCCUCUUCAUGAACUAGUUUAUGCCCGGCAAAAAGGAUUUCCUUAUUGGCCGGCUAAAGUAAUAAAAAUUAUAGACAAUAUGUAUGAUGUUCGAUUUUUUGGUGGAUAUCAUCAGAGAGCCUUAGUUGAAAAGAACCAAGUUCGCUCUAUUACGAUCAAUAUUCAUUCAUUACAAGUUAAACGGACUUCUGCUCUCAACAAAGCGUGUGAGGAACUUCGGAAGCAUCAAGAGUAUUUGAUUAAAAUUAAGGAGGGUUUAGAUUUAACCGAAGAUCCUUAUGGCAACCCAUUUAUUACAAAUGGUAUAAAAGUCGAAUUUCCAGAAUCUGAAGGCGAAGAAUCUGAAGAUGGUUUGCCUGAGGAGGGGCAUUACCCAGGCGAAGUAAACCAAUCUCAAAAAGAAGAAGAUGCUGAUAUAUUGAAAAAACCUAAUUUUGUUCCUGGAGAGGCACCAAUUCUUAACCCUCCAUCUGUUACACAUCAAGUAUAUCAACAACAGUUUUUAGAAACUAUUGGUCAGCAGGCUACACAAAUUACUCAACAACAAACAAUGCCAUUAGUUAGUGGCACCCCUGUAUCUAUCCAAACUCUUCCUCAUCAACAGUACCAUAUUGUUCAUCAUCAUAUUCCACAACAACAAAUGAGGUUAGUUCCUGUAAAUAAUGGUAGCUCUGCUGUUGUAAAUCUGACGACUCACGAUGGUAAUCAGCAUUUAACAACUGUCAAUGCUGAUCAAGCAAAUCUUAUGACUUCAUCUGGCCUUGUACACACUACUUUAACGACGGAUACUAUUAAAAAGAAAAGAGGUCGUCCUAAAAAAUCGAAAAGGGAGGAGCCGGAAGAUUUUGUUUCAUCUUCAAGUCAACAAGAAGCUCGUUUUAUUAAUGCUGGAGUACAAACACCCUCAAAGUUACUAAAGGCAUAUUCUAAUACCAAUGGUGGAGUUCUUAAUAACUCUGCUUCUGUUUCUUCAUCUAAUGUAGUUGUAGCAUCUGAGAUGCCACAACCUUCCCAGACUAUUUCUUCGGCAGCAAGUGCUGCAGCUGCCAACUCCUCUAAUCGUCAGCUUAAUGAUCGAGAAUUGAAGGAAUUUGCUGAUAAGGUAAUUUACUACCUAAUAACAUCAAUAACAAAAGGAUGUGAAAUUAGAUACUCGUUUGCUAAUUUUAUAGAAGAAUCUGCAAGAUGAUGUAUUAUGGAUGCAUGUUAUGUUAUACUUGUGCUGCUUAGGUAUGUUUUCUGAUUCUAAUAUAAAUAUGCUACGUGUGGACUUUGAGCAAGAAAAAAAACGAGCCGUAAAUGUUGCAACACGUAGUUUAGAAA
rnacentral:misc_RNA from 1 species